rnacentral:tRNA from 1 species
AUUAUCUUGGCAGACUAGUGCCUUAAAUUUAGAAUUUAAAUAUAAAAAAGUUAUUUUUUAGAUAAUA